rnacentral:rRNA from 1 species
GGACGAACGCUGGCGGCGUGCUUCAUACAUGCAAGUCGAACGAGAAUCUGACUUCGGUCAGAGGAAAGUGGCGGACGGGUGAGUAAAAUGUAGAGAAUCUGCCCUUAAGCGGGGGACAACAGUUGGAAACGACUGCUAAUACCCCAUAUGCGCGUAGCUGAGAUGCUAUUCGUGAAAACUCCGGUGCUUAAGGAUGAGUCUGCAUCUGAUUAGCUAGUAGGCGGUGUAAUGGACCACCUAGGCGACGAUCAGUAGCUGGUUUGAGAGGAUGAUCAGCCACAAUGGGACUGAGACACGGCCCAUACUCCUACGGGAGGCAGCAGUAGGGAAUUUUGCGCAAUGGGGGAAACCCUGACGCCAGCAACGCCGCGUGAUUGAAGAAGCCCUUCGGGGUGUAAAGAUCUGUCAGUGGGGACGAAACUUGACGGUACCCACAGAGGAAGCAUCGGCUAACUCCGUGCCAGCCGCCGC